UACGAAGGGGGCUAGCGUUGUUCGGAAUUACUGGGCGUAAAGCGCGCGCAGGCGGUUCUUCAAGUCAGUGGUGAAAGCCCGGAGCUCAACUCCGGAAUUGCCAUUGAAACUGUGGAACUUGAGGAUGAGAGAGGUGAGUGGAAUUCCCAGUGUAGAGGUGAAAUUCGUAGAUAUUGGGAAGAACACCGGUGGCGAAGGCGGCUCACUGGCUCAUUACUGACGCUCAGGCGCGAUAGCGUGGGGAUCAAACAGG
rnacentral:rRNA from 1 species